AUUCUGCCCAAGCGGAGAAGGAUGAGAAGCUUCGACUAAGGUUCGACUCGAGCGCCAGCGAGAGAGCGUUGCCGCAGGCAACGACCUGAAGGGCGAAGCGCGCAGCGCUGAG
rnacentral:sRNA from 2 species